rnacentral:rRNA from 1 species
AUACGUAGGUUGCAAGCGUUGUCCGGAUUUACUGGGUGUAAAGGGCGUGUAGGCGGAGAUGCAAGUCAGGAGUGAAAUCCCGGGGCUCAACCCCGGAACUGCUUUUGAAACUGUAUCCCUUGAGUGUCGGAGAGGCAAGCGGAAUUCCUAGUGUAGCGGUGAAAUGCGUAGAUAUUAGGAGGAACACCAGUGGCGAAGGCGGCUUGCUGGACGAUAACUGACGCUGAGGCGCGAAAGCGUGGGGAGC